CGAAUUAAAAGAUAACGCAACGCCUCUUUGUAUUUAAUAUUUAUAUAAGGAUUUUUUUUUGGUAGAACAUAUUUUUUGUAAAACAUUUUGUAUGUGUAUACCUAGCAUUUAUACACUUUCCUUUUUUGGUAAUUAGUAUCACUGUACACUUAACCAUUAAAGGAAGAUAAUACAAUGCAAUUGUCUUUUUCAGCGAGCUCAAAGCCAUUUAUAAGAUUGUUUGCUUCUCCAACUCUGCUCUCUCACUACUUUGUUCUUGAUUUUCUCUCUCUCUCU
rnacentral:lncRNA from 1 species